GGGGAUGAUCGGCCUAGACAGUAAUUUUCUUCUUUAAAGCGCAUGUCGAGUAUGUGUCAAGGCUCGUAAACUCUGGCACAACAAAUAAGUGUAAAAAACUUGUUUUCUAAACCAGCUUUGGCUUUUGCCUAAGCUAGGUUUAUCCCGCCCAAUGGGCGAGACGUCUUGUUUGAUGACUUCCGAUAAUCAAAAUGAGGUGUAAUAAAUUCGGAAUAGAAUAUAAAGAUUUUCUCGCUUUAUAUUUAAAUUAAUGAGAAUCGGUUAAUUAAUGAUUUUGUUUGUUUUGGACAUUAAUAACUUAAAAAUAAAAACAAACUAUGCAUGUAGACCCUUUUGAGAUUUUUUUCUGCACGCGGGUUCGAUUCCCGCCAUCUCCAUCA
rnacentral:tmRNA from 1 species